rnacentral:rRNA from 1 species
GAUGAACGCUGGCGGCGUGCCUAAUACAUGCAAGUCGAGUGAACAGAUAAGGAGCUUGCUCCUUUGACGUUAGCGGCGGACGGGUGAGUAACACGUGGGUAACCUACCUAUAGGACUGGAAUAACUCCGGGAAACCGGGGCUAAUGCCGGAUAACAUUUAGAACCGCAUGGUUCUAAAGUGAAAGAUGGUUUUGCUAUCACUUAUAGAUGGACCCGCGCCGUAUUAGCUAGUUGGUAAGGUAACGGCUUACCAAGGCAACGAUACGUAGCCGACCUGAGAGGGUGAUCGGCCACACUGGAACUGAGACACGGUCCAGACUCCUACGGGAGGCAGCAGUAGGGAAUCUUCCGCAAUGGGCGAAAGCCUGACGGAGCAACGCCGCGUGAGUGAUGAAGGUCUUCGGAUCGUAAAACUCUGUUAUUAGGGAAGAACAAAUGUGUAAGUAACUGUGCACGUCUUGACGGUACCUAAUCAGAAAGCCACGGCUAACUACGUG